CCAAAAAAUCCCACUUUCCCAAUUGAAGUUCCCACAUUAAUCACUGAUUCCAGAUGAUCAUCAUCAUUGAUAUCCCCAUCAGUAUUAAAAAUACACAUCAAUCCGUCUACAGAAGCAGAAAGAAGCUUGUUUCGGCGGCCAUGGACAAAGUGGACCUGAGUAACAUCUUCCGUGUGCGAAUCUUCCAGACAUGCAACUUGUUUCUCAUUCCUCCAAUCCCAGAAAAGUAUCUGAGAUUUAGACCCAGCAGCAAGAAGAUUAUCACUGGAGCCUCCAAAUGAGAAGCUGAAGAUCUCUUGAGAAGAACCGGCACUCAUACACGACACCUGGCGGAAAGUUCUGGUGUCCCAAGCUCUUAUGGUGCCAUCAGAAGAGCAAGAGUACAAGACGUGCGGGGUCGACGAAUUAGAGAAAGCAAUUUGAUUGAUGGUAUCAUAAUGACCUUUGAACUCUCCUUGGUACUGACCUGUCAUCGGAGAGUAGAGCUUCACCGCGUUGGUGGAUAGCGAAACCGCCAUUGAAGACCAAUCAUCCUUGGGGACGAUUUGGAAAACGUAGUGGUCACCGAAGUUAGUUUGGAUAGAGUUUUUGAGUCCAAAUCGCUUGAUCGAAUUUGAGUUUGAAUGCUCCACUUCCAUCACCGUCGCCUCCAUUUCCGCUUGCUUGUUUGUUCGUCUGGU
rnacentral:misc_RNA from 1 species